GCUUAGAAGUGAGAAUGCCGGUAUGAGUAGCGAAAGACGGGUGAGAAUCCCGUCCACCGAAUGCCUAAGGUUUCCUGAGGAAGGCUCGUCCGCUCAGGGUUAGUCAGGACCUAAGCCGAGGCCGACAGGCGUAGGCGAUGGACAACAGGUUGAUAUUCCUGUACCACCUCUUUAUCGUUUGAGCAAUGGAGGGACGCAGAAGGAUAGAAGAAGCGUGCGAUUGGUUGUGCACGUCCAAGCAGUUAGGCUGAUAAGUAGGCAAAUCCGCUUAUCGUGAAGGCUGAGCUGUGAUGGGGAAGCUCCUUAUGGAGCGAAGUCUUUGAUUCCCCGCUGCCAAGAAAAGCUUCUAGCGAGAUAAAAGGUGCCUGUACCGCAAACCGACACAGGUAGGCGAGGAGAGAAUCCUAAGGUGUGCGAGAGAACUCUGGUUAAGGAACUCGGCAAAAUGACCCCGUAACUUCGGGAGAAGGGGUGCUUUCUUAACGGAAAGCCGCAGUGAAUAGGCCCAAGCGACUGUUUAGCAAAAACACAGGUCUCUGCGAAGCCGUAAGGCGAAGUAUAGGGGCUGACACCUGCCCGGUGCUGGAAGGUUAAGGAGAGGGGUUAGCGUAAGCGAAGCUCUGAACUGAAGCCCCAGUAAACGGCGGCCGUAACUAUAACGGUCCUAAGGUAGCGAAAUUCCUUGUCGGGUAAGUUCCGACCCGCACGAAAGGUGUAACGAUUUGGGCACUGUCUCAACCAGAGACUCGGUGAAAUUAUAGUACCUGUGAAGAUGCAGGUUACCCGCGACAGGACGGAAAGACCCCGUGGAGCUUUACUGUAGCCUGAUAUUGAAUUUUGGUACAGUUUGUACAGGAUAGGCGGGAGCCAUUGAAACCGGAGCGCUAGCUUCGGUGGAGGCGCUGGUGGGAUACCGCCCUGACUGUAUUGAAAUUCUAACCUACGGGUCUUAUCGACCCGGGAGACAGUGUCAGGUGGGCAGUUUGACUGGGGCGGUCGCCUCCUAAAGUGUAACGGAGGCGCCCAAAGGUUCCCUCAGAAUGGUUGGAAAUCAUUCGUAGAGUGCAAAGGCAUAAGGGAGCUUGACUGCGAGACCUACAAGUCGAGCAGGGACGAAAGUCGGGCUUAGUGAUCCGGUGGUUCCGCAUGGAAGGGCCAUCGCUCAACGGAUAAAAGCUACCCCGGGGAUAACAGGCUUAUCUCCCCCAAGAGUCCACAUCGACGGGGAGGUUUGGCACCUCGAUGUCGGCUCAUCGCAUCCUGGGGCUGUAGUCGGUCCCAAGGGUUGGGCUGUUCGCCCAUUAAAGCGGUACGCGAGCUGGGUUCAGAACGUCGUGAGACAGUUCGGUCCCUAUCCGUCGUGGGCGUAGGAAAUUUGAGAGGAGCUGUCCUUAGUACGAGAGGACCGGGAUGGACGCACCGCUGGUGUACCAGUUGUUCUGCCAAGGGCAUAGCUGGGUAGCUAUGUGCGGAAGGGAUAAGUGCUGAAAGCAUCUAAGCAUGAAGCCCUCCUCAAGAUGAGAUUUCCCAUAGCGUAAGCUAGUAAGAUCCCUGAAAGAUGAUCAGGUUGAUAGGUUCGAGGUGGAAGCAUGGUGACAUGUGGAGCUGACGAAUACUAAUAGAUCGAGGACUUAACCAUAUAAUAUGUA
rnacentral:rRNA from 1 species